rnacentral:rRNA from 1 species
AGAGUUUGAUCCUGGCUCAGGACGAACGCUGGCGGCGUGCCUAACACAUGCAAGUCGAACGGAGUUCUUAAGGAAUGCGACUUCGGUCAAAUGACUUUUGAACUUAGUGGCGGACGGGUGAGUAACGCGUGAGCAACCUGCCUUUCAGAGGGGGAUAACAUUUGGAAACAGAUGCUAAUACCGCAUAAGAUUACAGUACCGCAUGAUACAGUGAUCAAAGGAGCAAUCCGCUGAAAGAUGGGCUCGCGUCCGAUUAGAUAGUUGGUGAGGUAACGGCUCACCAAGUCGACGAUCGGUAGCCGGACUGAGAGGUUGAACGGCCACAUUGGGACUGAGACACGGCCCAGACUCCUACGGGAGGCAGCAGUGGGGAAUAUUGCACAAUGGGCGAAAGCCUGAUGCAGCAACGCCGCGUGAGGGAAGACGGUUUUCGGAUUGUAAACCUCUGUUUUCGGUGACGAACAAAUGACGGUAACCGAGUAGGAAGCCACGGCUAACUACGUGCCAGCAGCCGCGGUAAUACGUAGGUGGCAAGCGUUAUCCGGAAUUACUGGGUGUAAAGGGAGCGCAGGCGGGAUAGCAAGUCAGCUGUGAAAACUAUGGGCUCAACCCAUAAACUGCAGUUGAAACUGUUAUUCUUGAGUGGAGUAGAGGCAAGCGGAAUUCCGAGUGUAGCGGUGAAAUGCGUAGAUAUUCGGAGGAACACCAGUGGCGAAGGCGGCUUGCUGGGCUCUAACUGACGCUGAGGCUCGAAAGUGUGGGGAGCAAACAGGAUUAGAUACCCUGGUAGUCCACACUGUAAACGAUGAUUGCUAGGUGUGGGGGGUCUGACCCCCUCCGUGCCGGAGUUAACGCAAUAAGCAAUCCACCUGGGGA